rnacentral:rRNA from 1 species
UACGUAGGGGGCAAGCGUUGUCCGGAAUUAUUGGGCGUAAAGAGCUCGUAGGCGGUUUGUCGCGUCUGCUGUGAAAUCCCGAGGCUCAACCUCGGGCUUGCAGUGGGUACGGGCAGACUAGAGUGCGGUAGGGGAGACUGGAAUUCCUGGUGUAGCGGUGGAAUGCGCAGAUAUCAGGAGGAACACCGAUGGCGAAGGCAGGUCUCUGGGCCGCAACUGACGCUGAGGAGCGAAAGCAUGGGGAGCGAACAGG